rnacentral:rRNA from 1 species
GAGACUCUGUGCGCGUGCAUAUCAAUAAGCGGAGGAAAAGAAACUAACAAGGAUUCCCCUAGUAACGGCGAGUGAAGCGGGAAGAGCUCAAAUUUGAAAUCUUCAAGGGUUUCCCUUUACGAAUUGUAGUUUAAAGAAGUGUUUUCUGUUAGAGAGUUCGGUAAAAGUUCUUUGGAAUAGGACAUCAUAGAGGGUGAGAAUCCCGUAUUUGAUCGUACUUUCUACUAGCUGUUGUGAUACACUUUCAAAGAGUCGGAUUGUUUGGGAAUGCAGUCCAAAAUGGGUGGUAAAUUUCAUCUAAAGCUAAAUAUUGGCGAGAGACCGAUAGCGAACAAGUACCGUGAGGGAAAGAUGAAAAGAACUUUGAAAAGAGAGUUAAACAGUACGUGAAAUUGUCAAAAGGGAAGCGUUUGACACCAGUGUUGUUUAGUUGAAAAUCAAUUCAAUAAUUUUUGAUUCUAAGUAGUAUUGACUUCAUCAGCUUGCUGCUUUCUUCUCAGAAAAUUAUUGAAUGCACUUUUCAGUUAACAAGUCAACAUCAAUUUCUUUUGUUGUAAAAGGGUAAGAGGAAGGUGGCUUACGCUUCGGCGUCAAGUGUUUAUAGCCUUUUAUCCUCUGCAAUCGGAGAGAUUGAGGUCAUGCAGCGUAGACUCCUUCGGGGUUAGAUACACUUGUGCUAAGCUAUAGCCUUGUAUAGACAACUUGUUGACUAUGCUCAGUCAUGUAGCUUACUCGCAUGUGCUAUUUUACCUACGCUUAGGAUGUUGACGAUCAGCUGAGCGCG